rnacentral:rRNA from 1 species
GAUGAACGCUGGCGGCGUGCCUAAUACAUGCAAGUCGAGCGAACAGACUAGGAGCUUGCUCCUCUGACGUUAGCGGCGGACGGGUGAGUAACACGUGGAUAACCUACCUAUAAGACUGGGAUAACUUCGGGAAACCGGAUCUCAUACCGGAUCAUAUAUUGAACCGCAUGGUUCAAUAUUGAACGACGGUUUGUCUGUCACUUAUAGAUGGAUCCGCGCCGCAUUAGCUAGUUGGUAAGGUAACGGCUUACCAAGACGAAGAUGCGGAGCCGACCUGAGAGGGUGAUCAGCCACACUGGAACUGAGACACGGUCAAGACUCAUACGGGAGGCAGAAGUAGGGAAUCUUCAGAAAUGAGAGAAAGCCUGACGGAGAAACGGCGCGUGAGUGAUGAAGGUGUACGGAUCGUAAGACGCAGUUAUUAGGGAAGAACAAAUGAGUAAGUAACUAGGCACGUCUUGAAGGUACCAAAUCAGAAAGCCACGGCUAACUACGUG